GAUGAACGCUGGCGGCGUGCCUAAUACAUGCAAGUCGAGCGAACGGACGAGAAGCUUGCUUCUCUGAUGUUAGCGGCGGACGGGUGAGUAACACGUGGAUAACCUACCUAUAAGACUGGGAUAACUUCGGGAAACCGUAGCUAAUACCGGAUAAUAUUUUUAACCGCAUGGUUCAAAAGUGAAAGACGGUCUUGCUGUCACCUAUAGAUGGAUCCGCGCUGCAUUAGCUAGUUGGUAAGGUAACGGCUUACCAAGGCAACGAUGCAUAGCCGACCUGAGAGGGUAAUCGGCCACACUGGAACUGAGACACGGUCCAGACUCCUACGGGAGGCAGCAGUAGGGAAUCUUCCGCAAUGGGCGAAAGCCUAACGGAGCAACGCCGCGUGAGUAAUGAAGGUCUUCGGAUCGUAAAACUCUGUUAUUAGGGAAGAACAUAUGUGUAAGUAACUGUGCACAUCUUGACGGUACCUAAUCAGAAAGCCACGGCUAACUACGUG
rnacentral:rRNA from 1 species